UACAGAGGUCUCAAGCGUUGUUCGGAUUCACUGGGCGUAAAGGGUGCGUAGGUGGUGAGGUAAGUCGGAUGUGAAAUCUCCGAGCUCAACUCGGAAAUGGCAUUGGAAACUACCUUGCUCGAGGGUUGGAGGGGGGACUGGAAUUCUCGGUGUAGCAGUGAAAUGCGUAGAUAUCGAGAGGAACACCAGUGGCGAAGGCGAGUCCCUGGACAACUCCUGACACUGAGGCACGAAAGCUAGGGGAGCAAACAGG
rnacentral:rRNA from 1 species